UUAAUUUAUUAAAAUGUUUACUCCGACUGACGAUUAAAGUAGUGUUUGGUUGGUCCUCUGGCGGGCGCUGACCGAUCCGUGAAGACCGGCGGUCCGGAGACCGUCCCGCCAAAGCAACAGGUUUGUUCAACAUCAAAGGGUGGGAGGUCGGGCCCCGGAGGACCCUCGCUCAUUAAUGAUCCUUCCGCAGGUUCACCUACGGAAA
rnacentral:misc_RNA from 1 species